rfam:Ovis aries breed Texel chromosome 18, whole genome shotgun sequence.
UCCCUGUUGGCUCAGCAGUAAAGAACCUGCCUGCAAUGCAGGAGACCCGGGUUCGAUCCCUGGGUCAGGAA